UACGUAGGGGGCAAGCGUUGUCCGGAUUUACUGGGUGUAAAGGGCGCGUAGGCGGACUUGUAAGUCAGAGGUGAAACCCUACAGCUUAACUGUAGAACUGCCUUUGAUACUGCAAGCCUUGAGUGCAGAAGAGAGAAGCGGAAUUCCAGGUGUAGUAGUGAAAUACGUAGAUAUCUGGAAGAACACCAGUUGCGAAGGCGGCUUCUUGGUCUGUGACUGACGCUGAGGCGCGAAAGCGUGGGGAG
rnacentral:rRNA from 1 species